UACGUGGGGGGCAAGCGUUGUUCGGAAUUACUGGGCGUAAAGGGCUCGUAGGCGGCCGACUAAGUCAGACGUGAAAUCCCUCGGCUUAACCGGGGAACUGCGUCUGAUACUGGUCGGCUUGAAUCCGGGAGAGGGAUGUGGAAUUCCAGGUGUAGCGGUGAAAUGCGUAGAUAUCUGGAGGAACACCGGUGGCGAAGGCGGCAUCCUGGACCGGAAUUGACGCUGAGGAGCGAAAGCCAGGGGAGCAAACAGG
rnacentral:rRNA from 1 species